AUUCACCUGACGAGUCCUAAAUUGGACGAAAUGAACGUCCUGGAU
rnacentral:hammerhead_ribozyme from 1 species